AGUGAACGCUGGCGGCAGGCCUAACACAUGCAAGUCGAACGGCAGCACAAGAGAGCUUGCUCUCUGGGUGGCGAGUGGCGGACGGGUGAGGAAUGCAUCGGAAUCUGCCCAUUUGUGGGGGAUAACCUCGGGAAACCGGGACUAAUACCGCAUACGACCUACGGGUGAAAGCAGGGGAUCUUCGGACCUUGCGCAGAUGGAUGAGCCGAUGCCGGAUUAGCUAGUUGGAGGGGUAAAGGCCCACCAAGGCGACGAUCCGUAGCUGGUCUGAGAGGAUGAUCAGCCACACUGGGACUGAGACACGGCCCAGACUCCUACGGGAGGCAGCAGUGGGGAAUAUUGGACAAUGGGCGCAAGCCUGAUCCGGCCAUGCCGCGUGUGUGAAGAAGGCCUUCGGGUUGUAAAGCACUUUUGUUGGGAAAGAAAAGCAGCCGGUUAAUACCCGGUUGUCAUGACGGUACCCAAAGAAUAAGCACCGGCUAACUUCGUG
rnacentral:rRNA from 1 species